GUCCCUGUAGCGCAAUGGAUAGCGCGUUGGACUUCUAAUCCAAAGGUCGUGGGUUCGAAUACCAUCUGGGAUG